rnacentral:rRNA from 1 species
GACGAACGCUGGCGGCGUGCUUAACACAUGCAAGUCGAACGGUAAGGCCCUUCGGGGUACACGAGUGGCGAACGGGUGAGUAACACGUGGGUGAUCUGCCCUGCGCUUCGGGAUAAGCCUGGGAAACUGGGUCUAAUACCGGAUAGGACCACUGCCUGCAUGGGUGGUGGUGGAAAGCCUUUGCGGUGUGGGAUGGGCCCGCGGCCUAUCAGCUUGUUGGUGGGGUGAGGGCCUACCAAGGCGACGACGGGUAGCCGGCCUGAGAGGGUGACCGGCAACACUGGGACUGAGAUACGGCCCAGACUCCUGCGGGAGGCAGGAGUGGGGAAUAUUGCACAAUGGGCGCAAGCCUGAUGCAGCGACGCCGCGUGAGGGAUGACGGCCUUCGGGUUGUAAACCUCUUUCAGCACCGACGAAGCGCAAGUGACGGUAGGUGCAGAAGAAGGACCGGCCAACUACGUGCCAGCAGCCGCAGUAA